rnacentral:rRNA from 1 species
AUUGAACGCUGGCGGCAUGCCUUACACAUGCAAGUCGAACGGUAACACGCCUUCGGUUGCCUCCUAGUGGCGAACGGGUGAGUAAUGCUUCGGAACGUACCCAGAGCUUGUGGAUAACGCAGCAAAACGUGUGCUAAUACCUCAUAUUAGCUGAUAAUAAAAACGGGUGACCGAACUGCAAUUUUUGGCCUCGCGCCUUUGGAUGAGCCGAUGUCGCAUUAGCUAGUUGGUGUGGUAAAGGCCUACCAAGGCGACGAUCCGUAGCUGGUCUGAGAGGACGAUCAGCCACACUUGAACUUAGACACGGUCCAGACUCCUACGGGGAGCAGCAGGAGGGAAUCUUCCGCAAUUGGCGAAAGCCUGACGGAGCAACGCCGCGGUGGGGAAGAAGGGCUUCGGGUCGUAAAACUCUGUUAUGAGGGAAGGAAAAGUGGUUAAGUAACUAUGCACGUCAUGACGGUACCUAACCAAAAAGCCACGGCUAACUUCGUG